AACGCACGAGACCUGCGGACCUGCGGAAGGAUCAUUAUUGAAUUUAUCCAAAGAAAAAUUUGUGCUUGUCUUUUUCUUUUUCUUGAAAGAGAGGAGACAGCACAUUUUUUUCUAUCAAACAAACGAUCACAACUAUAAAUUGUGUAAUUUGAUUUGAAAAGUGUUUGCCUGAUAAUCAAGAUGAUUUGGUUUGAGAAAGAAAAUACAACUUUUAACAACGGAUCUCUAGAUCGGAAGAGC
rnacentral:misc_RNA from 1 species